CAUGUAGGCGGUCUGUCAAGUCUGAUGUGAAAGCCCGGGGCUCAACCCCGGAAGUGCAUUGGAAACUGGCAGACUUGAGUACGGGAGAGGAAAGUGGAAUUUCGAGUGUAGGGGUGAAAUCCGUAGAUAUUCGAAGGAACACCAGUGGCGAAGGCGGCUUUCUGGACCGAUACUGACGCUGAAAUACGAAAGCUAGGGGAGCAAACAGGAUUAGAUACCCUGGUAGUCC
rnacentral:rRNA from 1 species